GCUCUGUCCCUUCCCCCACCUCCUGCAAGAGCCGCGUGCUCUUUAAAGGGACCGUGGCUAUCCCUGGCUUUUGCGGGAGGUGGGGGAAGGGACAGAGC